rnacentral:rRNA from 1 species
GACGAACGCUGGCGGCGUGCCUAAUACAUGCAAGUCGAACGCUUCUUUCCUCCCGAGUGCUUGCACUCAAUUGGAAAGAGGAGUGGCGGACGGGUGAGUAACACGUGGGUAACCUACCCAUCAGAGGGGGAUAACACUUGGAAACAGGUGCUAAUACCGCAUAACAGUUUAUGCCGCAUGGCAUAAGAGUGAAAGGCGCUUUCGGGUGUCGUUGAUGGAUGGACCCGCGGCGCAUUAGCUAGUUGGUGAGGUAACGGCUCACCAAGGCCACGAUGCAUAGACGACCUGAGAGGGUGAUAGGCCACACUGGGACUGAGACACGGCCCAGACCCCUACGGGAGGCAGCAGUAGGGAAUCUUCGGCAAUGGACGAAAGUCUGACCGAGCAACGCCGCGUGAGUGAAGAAGGUUUUCGGAUCGUAAAACUCUGUUGUUAGAGAAGAACAAGGACGUUAGUAACUGAACGUCCCCUGACGGUAUCUAACCAGAAAGCCACGGCUAACUACGUG